AUUGAACGCUGGCGGCAGGCCUAACACAUGCAAGUCGAACGAGUGGCGGACGGGUGAGUAAUGUCUGGGAAACUGCCCGAUGGAGGGGGAUAACUACUGGAAACGGUAGCUAAUACCGCAUACCAUCGGAUGUGCCCAGAUGGGAUUAGCUAGUAGGUGGGGUAACGGCUCACCUAGGCGACGAUCCCUAGCUGGUCUGAGAGAAUGACCAGCCACACUGGAACUGAGACACGGUCCAGACCCCUACGGGGGGAAGCGGUGGGAAUUAUUGCACAAUGAGCGCAGGCCUAAUGCAGCAAGGCGGCGUGGAUGAAGAAGGCCUUGGGGUGGUAAGGUACUUUCAGCGAGGAGGCGUUACUCGCAGAAGAAGCACCGGCUAACUCCGUGCCAGCAGCCGCGGUAAUAC
rnacentral:rRNA from 1 species